rnacentral:rRNA from 1 species
UACGGAGGGGGGCUAGCGUUGUUCGGAAUUACUGGGCGUAAAGCGCACGUAGGCGGCUUUGUAAGUUAGAGGUGAAAGCCCGGGGCUCAACUCCGGAAUUGCCUUUAAAACUGCAUCGCUAGAAUUGUGGAGAGGUAAGUGGAAUUCCGAGUGUAGAGGUGAAAUGCGUAGAUAUCAGGAGGAACACCGGUGGUGUAAACGGCUUUCUGGACCAUAACUGACGCUGAGGCACGAAAGCGUGGGUAGCAAACAGG